rnacentral:rRNA from 1 species
GGCCCGCACAAGCGGUGGAGCAUGUGGUUUAAUUCGAAGCAACGCGAAGAACCUUACCAGGUCUUGACAUCCCAGUGACCGCUCUAGAGAUAGAGUUUUUCUUCGGAACACUGGUGACAGGUGGUGCAUGGUUGUCGUCAGCUCGUGUCGUGAGAUGUUGGGUUAAGUCCCGCAACGAGCGCAACCCUUAUUGUUAGUUGCCAUCAUUCAGUUGGGCACUCUAGCGAGACUGCCGGUAAUAAACCGGAGGAAGGUGGGGAUGACGUCAAAUCAUCAUGCCCCUUAUGACCUGGGCUACACACGUGCUACAAUGGUUGGUACAACGAGUCGCAAGUCGGUGACGGCAAGCAAAUCUCUUAAAGCCAAUCUCAGUUCGGAUUGUAGGCUGCAACUCGCCUACAUGAAGUCGGAAUCGCUAGUAAUCGCGGAUCAGCACGCCGCGGUGAAUACGUUCCCGGGC